rnacentral:rRNA from 1 species
GGGCCCGCACAAGCGGUGGAGCAUGUGGUUUAAUUCGAUGAUACGCGAGGAACCUUACCUGGGCUUAAAUGUAGUUUGACCGAUCUAGAAACAGGUCUUUCGCAAGACAAAUUACAAGGUGCUGCAUGGCUGUCGUCAGCUCGUGCUGUGAGGUGUCGGGUUAAGUCCCAUAACGAGCGCAACCCCUAUCUUUAGUUGCCAGCGAGUAAUGUCGGGGACUCUAAAGAGACUGCCGGUGCAAACCGUGAGGAAGGUGGGGAUGACGUCAAGUCAGCACGGCCCUUACGUCCAGGGCUACACACGUGCUACAAUGGCAAGUACAGAGGGCAGCUACACCGCGAGGUGAUGCGAAUCUUCAAAGCUUGUCUCAGUUCGGAUCGAAGUCUGAAACUCGACUUCGUGAAGCUGGAAUCGCUAGUAAUCGGAUAUCAGCAAUGAUCCGGUGAAUACGUUCCCGGGCCUU